GACGAAUUAGCUCAGUCGGUAGAGCAUCGGAAUUUCCAGUCCGAGGGGCGCAGGUUCGAUUCCUGUGUUUGUUA
rnacentral:tRNA from 1 species